AGUGUAUGCGACGAGGGAUUGUUCCUUUUAGUCGUAAAUAAAACGACUCUCGGCAACGGAUAUCUCAGCUCUCGCAUCGAUGAAGAACGUAGCGAAAUGCGAUACGUGGUGUGAAUUGCAGAAUCCCGUGAACCAUCGAGUUUUUGAACGCAAGUUACGCCCGAAGCCUUCAGGUUGAGGGCACGUCUGCCUGGGU
rnacentral:rRNA from 1 species